GAUGAAGAACGCAGCGAAAUGCGAUAAGUAAUGCGAAUUGCAGAAUUUCCGUGAGUCAUCGAAUCUUUGAACGCACAUUGCGCCCGCCAGCAUUCUGGCGGGCAUGCCUGUUCGAGCGUCAUUUCAACCCUCGAGCUCCCCUUGGGGAGCCCGGCGUUGGGGACCGGCAGCAUACCGCCGGCCCUGAAAUGGAGUGGCGGCCCGUCCGCGGCGACCUCUGCGUAGUAAACAUCACCUCGCACCGGAAACCCGACGUGGCCACGCCGUAAAACACCCAACUUUCUGAACGUUGACCUCGGAUCAGGUAGGAAUACCCGCUGAACUUAAGCAUAUCAAUAAGCGGAGGA
rnacentral:misc_RNA from 1 species